rnacentral:rRNA from 1 species
UAUCUCUGUAGAGUCUGCAUAUCAAUAAGCGGAGGAAAAGAAACUAACUAGGAUUCCCUCAGUAACGGCGAGUGAAGCGGGAAGAGCUCAAAUUUGAAAUCUUCAAGGUUUUACCUUGACGAAUUGUAGUUUAAAGAAGUGUUUUCUGUUGGAGUUUUGGUAAAAGUUCUUUGGGAUAGGACAUCAUAGAGGGUGAGAAUCCCGUAUUUGACCAUUAUUUCCAGCUUUGUGAUACACUUUCAAAGAGUCGGAUUGUUUGGGAAUGCAGUCCAAAAUGGGUGGUAAAUUUCAUCUAAGGCUAAAUACUGGCGAGAGACCGAUAGCGAACAAGUACCGUGAGGGAAAGAUGAAAAGAACUUUGAAAAGAGAGUUAAACAGUACGUGAAAUUGUCAAAAGGGAAGCGUUUGACACCAGUGUUGUUCUCUCGAAAAUCAAUUUAAACUAAGACUUUAUCCGCUUGUUGUUUAGUUUUCUUGUCUUUGUGAAUGCACUUUUCGUGGAACAAGUCAACAUCAAUUUCUUUUGCUGUAAAAGGGUAAGAGGAAGGUGGCUUCGGCUUCGGUUGUAAGUGUUUAUAGCCUUUUAUCUCUGCAGUCGGAGAGAUUGAGGUCUGCAGCGUAGACUCUUCGGGGUUAGAUACGUCGGUGCUAAGCUAUAGCUUUUCAUAGACAACUUGUUGACUAUGUUUAGUCAUGUGGCUUACCCGCUGGCGCUAUUUUACCUACGCUUAGGAUGUUGAGUCAUCACACAUCUCUCGCAUCUGUGCAUGCAGCAUAUCAAUAAGCGGAGGAAAAGUCAACUACCUACGCUUAGGAUGUUGAUAUGCAUGACUGAUAUAGUCUAUACAUGACUCUGCGUAUAUCAAUAAGCGGAGGAAAAGUACUACCUACGCUUAGGAUGUUGAUAUGCAUGACUGAUAUAGUCUAUACAUGACUCUGCGCAUAUCAAUAAGCGGAGGAAAAGAGGGCUAUUACCUACGCUUAGGAUGUUGACGAGACUGUCGAUCUCGUCUAUACAUGACUCUGUGCAUAUCAAUAAGCGGAGGAAAAGUAAAUGCUGUAUACCUACGCUUAGGAUGUUGAUAUGCAUGACUGAUAU